UGGCAGUGUGGUUAGCUGGUUGUU
rnacentral:ncRNA from 5 species